AGCCUUAAGUUGCAGCAAAAGAUUUCAAGCUAGCGAAAGCAGGCCUGUUACCUUUGCAGCAUCUAUUACAACUAAUCAAACAAAGGAGUUUAACUAAGCUCUUAAACUAAAACCAAAUUCUCAACGAUGGAUAUCUUGGUUCCCAUAACGAUGAAGAACGCAGCGAAGUGCGAUAAGCAGUGCGAAUUGCAGAACCGUGAGUCAUCAGAUUUUUGAACGCAACUGGCGCCGGCUGGCUAUCCAGCCGGCAUGCUUGUUUCAGUGUCUCGUUUUCUCCUCACCAAAAUCUUAAUGUGAGAGAUACCCUUCUCUUACUAAGUAUGAAAGCACUCUGUACCCUGCAGGCAGCCUUGAUUCGUCAAGGGUUGCACUCAAUGCAGCAGUCACAUUUUAUGUGAACUCAUUGAGAGUAGAGACAGCGCAGUUCAUCUGCACAAGUGCUUAGACC
rnacentral:misc_RNA from 1 species